GUGCUUCCAAACCGACUUCAACCUUUGGCGUGAGAAUCACAUGGAGAUCAUCAGGAUUGGAGGGAAUCUUGCAACCGACUGCAAGAUAAGGUAGGUCGUUCGAAAGGUGAAAAUUGAAAGCGGACUUAUUUUCAUCCAACGCCGGUGAGUGAAAUUUAUUUAUUAAUAUAUCGUAUCCGUUCCGCGGAUUUUUUCGUGGUCGGUUCGGGGGUUUGAAUUUUCGAGAUGAUUUUAUCUCUCGAUCAGAUGAUGUCGAGAUGCCAGUAGAUAUGGCUCCAUCA